GACAUCACACGAAAACCUCCCCAUUUCACCCUUCCUCCGGUGCUGGCUCCUGCUCCGGUGUUCGCAUAUUCACCGUAAUACAGAGUGCUCAGAGCAAAGUUUCCACUCCACUCAGACCAACCUGAAGAAACAACCACUUCUAGGUAAAUACUCCACUUUCACUCUUAUGUUAUUUAUGUCUAUUUUCUAGGUAAAAAAUAUAGUAGAAAGCUAUUCAAAUUAGUAGCAUGUUAGUUUCACAAAUCUUUAUUUUUAUUUUAAUCACAAAAAUUAUACAUUUAAAAAAAAAUAUUUAAAUAUUAAAAUAAUAAUUUCAUGACAUUAAACAGGUUCAAAAUGUAAACGUUGUCAAGAAAAUAAUAAUUAUAUCCCUUAAAUGGGAUAAAAGUCGGUAAGCUGAGUUUUUCUUUUAUUUUAAUUAUUUCUAUCUCUAUUCUUUUCAAUCAUAUCACUCAUUUAUAUCUACUUUUUCUUUUUCUUUCUAUCCCCAUACACCACCAAAGGGCACUUAGGCUCUUCUAGCUGAUUAUUAUCCUUCUACGUCUAUGAAUAAUUUUACAUAUUAUAUAUUUUAAAAACUUGUUAUUUUUCUCUCUUUUUUCAAUGUAUACUUAUAUUACUUAUACAUCUUUUCUCACCACCUAAAAUUAUUUUAUAACUACAAUUUUUUAAUUCAAAAAAUAAUUAUAAUACUUUCUUUUCACUUAAAAUUUAUCUUCAUGUAUUUUUAUUGUUAAAAAAUUAUCUCUCACUAGUAUUUUUCCUUCUAGCAGUUGUACUUGCACGAUGAACAAAGACAAGGAGUCACACUUUAACCUUAUGUUUUUCUCUAUCAUCGUAGAAGAUGAAGUUUCCAACUUCACUAUCAAAGACAAGCAAAAAUAAUAACAUAAUAAUAAAGGACACGGGAAAUCUCAUGUCUAUCUUGUUUAGAUUUUUCUAUCUUAUAUUAAAGUGAAAAUAAAGUUAAAUAACGUUUAUCUUAAAUGAUUGGACUAACCAUUUAUAAAAUAGAGUUGUGUAAGUUGAUUUUUACUUGAGAUAAAACAACACAAGCCUUUUUAUUAUAAAAUAUAGAUGCAGUUAUAUAGUAUGAAAAAAGUGGUGAACCUGCAGGGUUAAUCAAGCCAUCAAGGGCACUCUUCAUAACCACAGUCCUUGAAUACUUCUGCCAUGGACGACCAAGAUAGGUUCUGAAAGAGCCCUGCACCGCUUUCAGGUCCCCAGCUGCAGUGAUGACACAGUUAUGGAUGAUGAUGCCU
rnacentral:lncRNA from 1 species